AAGUUUCAACGAAGUAUUUUUUUUUGUUUGUUUUAUUCCAAUACAAUGUUUUCUUAUGUGCUUUGGUUAGGCUUAUUAGGACAUGUAAGAAAAACAAAAUGUCACUUAUUUUAAAGGUCAUGUGCAUUCUGCCAACUAUGCACAUUGCUGGUAAGCCAGGUAUCUCCAGGAGAGGGCUUAUGAAGGUGGCUUGAAAGUGUCUGGGAUUUAAAAGCCACGCAGAGUAGAAACUCAUAAAAUAUAUUAUUUAUGCAGAGAGAGUUCUUUGAGUGUAGAAAAAACGUCUCUGGGGCUCACAAAGAAAGGUAGCAAACUAUAAAAAAUAUUUUUAAUUUGCUUAGGAUGUAAUUCUUCAUGUAAUAUAUGCAGUGCCUGCAAAGUGCAGCAUCCAACUCUGUAAUAGAAGUACCUCAAGCUUGAACUUGAACUUAAUUUGGUCCAAAGUAAUUUAGCCAAGUUGAACCAUACAUAAGUCACUCAUACAUUUUUUUUUAAUUUACAGUGUAAAGUUUAAGAAUAUUUUGCUGUGAUAGCAGAGUUGAAUGUGUGCAGUAAUAGAGGGACUUUUGUGCAAAUUAACUUUAUAUUUAUAGCUUACUGACCUUCAACUAACUUUUUUUUUUCCAAUUUGCAUUCUUAGAUUGCUGCAACAGAAAAUCACCUUUAUAAACAGAAAUAAUAUAAUUAACACUUCUGAUUAAAAGUUUGUGGAGUCCUAGUAGACACAAUGCUGUCAGUUUAAAAGUGCUGGGCUGUUGGACCCUCAUGUGACAAUGGGACACAAGGCCUUGCUGGAAAACGAGUGUGCAUGAGGAAUGACUUGACCACAUUAUGAAGCCUGGGAGAUUACACACAAACGAAUAUAUAUGUCAAGUGCACAGAGGAGAGAAUAAGGCCCUAAAAAUCACUUCCUUUUAACUCCAGCAAUGUUACAGGGUUCAUCAGAGAUAAUCAGGAUAGACUGGUGCAGUCAUUGGUGUUCUUCCCAGGGGAGUUCAUUUCCACACUGCUGUAGUCCAUGGCCAUGUAAGUGUCCGAGUCCCCUCUGUGAGUGUCAGCUCCUCUUGAGGAACAGCCAUCCCAGGAAAGUGCAGUGGGAAGUACACCUCUGUCCCCUAGGUCAGAACUGCUGCUGACACAUUCUGGGGCACCUGGCUGGGUUUUUUCUGACUGUAUCCAGCUAAUGUACCAGAAUGUGUACACAGUAGCCUCUUAAAUCUAGUGUACUCUCAAGAGACAAGAUCCUGUUAUAAAUUCUCACUAGUAGAGAAAAAAUGCGGUGCUAGGAGCACAGUGCUUUUCCUCAAGCUUCUCAGAAAACAUUUUGUAAUUAAUUUUAGCACUGACAGACCA